rnacentral:misc_RNA from 1 species
GAUGAAGAACGUAGCGAAAUGCGAUAAGUAAUGUGAAUUGCAGAAUUCAGUGAAUCAUCGAAUCUUUGAACGCACCUUGCGCUCCUUGGUAUUCCGAGGAGCAUGCCUGUUUGAGUGUCAUGAAAUUCUCAACCUUAUUGGCUUUUGCUGAUAAUGGCUUGGACUUGGGGGUCUUUUUGCUGGCUUUCAUUAGUCUGCUCCCCUUAAAUGUAUUAGCCGGUGCCCCGCAGUGGAACCGUCUAUUGGUGUGAUAAUUAUCUACGCCGUGGACGUCUGCUAUAAUGGGUUUGCGCUGCUUCUAACCGUCUCUCGGGACAACACAAAUGACAAUUUGACCUCAAAUCAGGUAGGACUACCCGCUGAACUUAAGCAUAUCAAUAAGCGGAGGA